UCCUGUUCUUACACAGAGAUACGCCCAGGUGGAAUGUCCUAGUUAGGUUUCUGCUGCUGGGAUAAACAUUACCAAAGGAACUUGGGCUGGAAAGGGGUUAUUUCACCUUACAUGUUCCUGUCAUCAUCAGGGGAAUCCGGGACAGGAGCUCACAACAGGAACCCGGAGGCCCCAUCCCAACUACCCAGAGAGGAAGUCUUUCUGAAAUCCACUGUUGCAGCAUUUGCCCUGGAGGAGAUGACACUCUUUGUGUUUAUUUUGGUCUGCAGAGCAUUUGUGGAGUCCGGCUCCAUGUGAACUUCUGAAGGGCAAGCAAGGGGAAUGAGGGGCCCACAAAGUCCUGAAGGGGAGGCAGAUGGCAACAGGAUGAAGCACUUAGAAGGUGCCUGGAGAUGUUUGUUUAUGCCACAGCCCAGUCACAUCCUCUGGUGUUACCAGACUGCCCAUGUUGAAAGGGCACGUUCAGCUCUGAAUGCCCUGGGAGGAAGUUGCUCAACCUUCGUGAAAACCAAAACCCUCACUCUGGUUUCCUCUGAAAACGUUGCAGCAAUUUCUUAGCUGGCAGUGGCAAAUACCUGGCCGUUGCCUAGACCUGGAGCCAUCCAACUGGCCAUUUUGUAAUCAUGGAUGCAUUCGGCAGAUGUGCAUUGCUUGUUUGUUUAUUUAUAGGGCUAAGUUUCGCUCUGUAUCUAAGGGGGCUCAAACUGACCCACAACUCCCAAUCAGCCUCCAGGUACUAGGGGUACAAAUGUGUACCUCCACACCUCACUAAUUCCAGAUUUUUCACAGUUUUCCUACUAAGUCUUAUAAUAACUUGAGGCUGAGUUUGCCAGGCAGUGGUGGCACACGCCUUUAAUCCUAGCACUUGCUGGCAGAGGCGGGCAGAGCUCUGUGAGUUUGAGGCCAGCCUGGUCUACAGAGUGAGUUCCAGGACAGCCAGGACUGUUAGACAGAGAAACCAUGUCUCAAAAAACCAAACAGCAGCAACAACAACAAAACCCAAAAAUAGGAAGUGGGGCUGUGUUCUUAGCAGCCUCAGUUUCCUUCAUCAUACAUGUACCGAGGGAGGUGUGUGUCCACUGAGAGGAGGCUGGAAGGAACCUAGAGGCCACUGAUUGGUUCCACCAUGACAUUUUCACACAUUUGUGUUAUUGUACUCACUCAAGUCUGUGCCCCCUGCUAUCCUAAUUCAUACCUCACUCCUCAUGCUGUCCCCGUCCCUCCUUCAAUCAGCCCCCCUUUCUGUGUUCAUGUCAUAUUUGUGUAUGUGUGUGUGUAAAACUAAAAUCUGGAUUCUGGUAUUUCUUUAUUUUCCCAUUAGCCUCUCUUGUCCCUUCUCUCCCUUUGUCUCUACCCCCACCCCCACUCACGGUUCCCCUUCUUUCUUUAUGAUAUUUUAUUACUUAUUUAUUGUGUGUGUUCAUGUGUGUACAGGUACUUGUGACCAUGUGCACACAUGACUGUGGAGACCAGAGUUCAACCUGUGCUGUUGUUCUUGAGGUAAUGCCCAUCUUGGUCUUUUGUUGGGGGUGGGAGAGCUUUGUUUCUUUUUACUUUCAUUUACUCUGUAUGUAACAGAGUAUUCCACAGCCCUUGUGUGAGGUCAGACAAUAAUCUUGUAGGAGUCAUCAUCUCUUUCCACUCUUUGGGAUCUGGGGAUUGAACUCAGGUUUUCAACCUUGGUGGCAAGCACCUUCACCCAGUAAGCCUUCUCACUGCUCCUUCUUAAUUCCCCUUCUGCUUUCAUCACACACACACACACACACACACACACACACACACACACAAAGAGCACGUGGUGCUUCUAGAUUCCUCACAUGAGCAAAAACCUGGACAUAGACAUUCUUUUUGUGUUUGUUUAUUUUUCAAGACAGGGUUUCUCUGUGUAGCCUUGGCUGUCCUGGAACUCACUCUGUAGACCAGGCUAGCCUUGAAAGCAGAGAUUCUCCCAUCUCGGCCUCUCAAGUACUGGGAUUAAAGGCGUGCACCACAAUGCCUGGUUGACAUAGACUUUCAUAAGACAUGUUUUCCUUACUCUGCACCCAGUGAUGGAUGCUUAGUAAGUCCUUGAGGCAGGCUGUCACAUCCUCUGACUGAAGGGUCAUAUGGCCAGAAGACACUAGAAAUCAUAUCUCCCCAUUAUUCUCAUUCUUCCCAACCUGGCACAGGUUUGCAAUCCAUUAAACUAUAUUUUUCAUUGAAAUAGCUAGCUAUCAAUGUGCCCCAACACAAAAUCACAAAUGUAAUUAAAGCAUUAUGAGGGUUGUUUUUUUUGUUUUGUUUUAUUUUUUGAGAUAAGGUUUUGCUAUAUAACAGUCCUGGCUGCCCCAGAACUCUAUCUGUAGACCAGGCUGACCUCAAACUCACAGAGAUCCACCUGUCUCUGCCUCCUGAGUGCUGCUGGGAUUAAAGGUAUGCAUCACCACUGCCUGUAUAGGGUUUUUGUUUGUUUGUUUGUUUGUUUGUUUGUUUUUGAAACUUGAUUGUACAAUCCUCAAGAAUGAACUUUAUGGAUGAUAGCAUCAUGUCACAAUGUCAAAAUGUUGGAAACAACUGUGAUCUUAAUCUUUUAUUCAGGUCAAUAAAUAGUGACUAGGCAUGCGAUGCAGCUAGCUGGUAGAGUACUUGCCUAGUGUGCCCACCUGAGGUGGGGGAGUGGUGUCUUAUACCCACCAUCUCAUAAGCUGGGCCUGGGGGUGCACACUUGAAAUCCUAGCACUUGGAAGCUGGAGGCAGGAAGUUCAAGGUCAUCCUUGGCUACAUAGAGGAAAAAGAGAUUGAAUGCAAACUAUAAAGUAGUUCCCAG
ensembl:lncRNA